AACGAACGCUGGCGGCAGGCUUAACACAUGCAAGUCGAACGCAUCCUUCGGGGUGAGUGGCAGACGGGUGAGUAACGCGUGGGAACGUGCCCUUCAGUUCGGGAUAACCCAGGGAAACUUGGGCUAAUACCGGAUACGUGCGAGAGCAGAAAGAUUUAUCGCUGAAGGAUCGGCCCGCGUCUGAUUAGCUAGUUGGUGGGGUAAUGGCCCACCAAGGCGACCAUCAGUAGCUGGUCUGAGAGGAUGAUCAGCCACAUUGGGACUGAGACACGGCCCAAACUCCUACGGGAGGCAGCAGUGGGGAAUAUUGGACAAUGGGCGCAAGCCUGAUCCAGCCAUGCCGCGUGAGUGAUGAAGGCCUUAGGGUUGUAAAGCUCUUUCGUCCGGUACGAUAAUGACGGUACCGGAAGAAGAAGCCCCGGCUAACUUCGUGCCAGCAGCCGCGGUAAUACGAAGAGGGCUAGCGUUGUUCGGAAUCACUGGGCGUAAAGGGCGCGUAGGCGGCUUUAUAAGUCGGGGGUGAAAGCCUGUGGCUCAACCACAGAAUUGCCUUCGAUACUGUAGAGCUUGAGACCGGAAGAGGUAAGUGGAACUGCGAGUGUAGAUGUGAAAUUCGUAGAUAUCGAGAGGAACACCGGUGGCGAAGGCGGCUACCUGGACGGCUAUUGACGCUGAGACGCGAAAGCGUGGGGAGCAGACAGGAUUAGAUACCCUGGUAGUCCACGCCGUAAACGAUGGGUGCUAGGUGUCGUGGGCUUUGACCCCUGCGGUGCCGUAGCUAACGCAUUAAGCACCCCGCCUGGGGAGUACGGUCGCAAGACUAAA
rnacentral:rRNA from 1 species